rnacentral:rRNA from 1 species
ACUCCUACGGGAGGCAGCAGUGGGGAAUAUUGCACAAUGGGCGCAAGCCUGAUGCAGCCAUGCCGCGUGUGUGAAGAAGGCCUUCGGUUGUAAAGCACUUUCAGUCGUGAGGAAGGUAGUGUAGUUAAUAGCUGCAUUAUUUGUACGUUAGCGACAGAAGAAGCACCGGCUAACUCCGUGCCAGCAGCCGCGGUAAUACGGAGGGGUGCGAGCGUUAAUCGGAAUUACUGGGCGUAAAGCGCAUGCAGGUGGUUUGUUAAGUCAGAUGUGAAAGCCCGGGGCUCAACCUCGGAAUAGCAUUUGAAACUGGCAGACUAGAGUACUGUAGAGGGGGUAGAAUUUCAGGUGUAGCGGUGAAAUGCGUAGAGAUCUGAAGGAAUACCGGUGGCGAAGGCGGCCCCCUGGACAGAUACUGACACUCAGAUGCGAAAGCGUGGGGAGCAAACAGGAUUAGAUACCCUGGUAGGACAGUG